CAGUCUCUCCAAGUAUGCCAGGGCUUGUCAGCUUCUCACAAAUGGAGUUCUGUGAUUCCCUCACUGAGAGAAGGACAUCAAGGAAGUCUGGUUGCAAGAACAAGCUGCCUAUGCAAGACACAAAACAAUAACAGUGACCUUGAGAAGCUGAGGACUUGUAUUCUCCAAGUGCAUGAUGUACUGCUAGAGGGAAGUGUCUCACAUGACCUGAAGUGAGGGAUCACAGCAGAAUCCAGACCACAGAUCUGCCAUGCACUGAUGACUAGCAUACAGACAUGAGUUACUUUUCGUCACGUUGCAACCUCAGCCUGAGUUAGCUGGUUAGUUGGUCCUACAGGGAAUAAAUCUAGGACAAUUAAAAAGAAAAAGAAAAAGAAGAAAAAGGGACUCACCUGAGCAGAAUAAAUGCCUGGAAGCCCCAAAGCAAAGGUCUUCUGCAACUCCUGAGGCUUCUCCCAGACAGAGUUCUGGAGUUACGAGUGGGAGGGUUAGAUGCACUUGCAGAACACGAGGUUUGGUGGAAGGAAGGCAGACCGUGUGGGACCAAGCCAACACUGAGCAGCUAGUGCAUGUCAGAACAUACAGCUUCUCCAAGGCAGUCAUUCUGCUCACCUCAGCAGUUCUGCACUCUUGGUGGAUGCAUUUACCCAAAAAGCAACAAUGGAGAAGGCAGUGCCUUAACUCAGCCCACAAGCAUCAAGAGCCUAUUUGUACAAGUGAGUGUUGCUGUAUUCUGCUUGUCUGGUGCACGAGUGCGCACCGGUUCACACGUGGAACAUGUGGAAGCAUUCAAAGUAUGUCCCCAUGCAUCUGUAAUACCACAGUAACAACUGACGCAUGCCUGGAUCUCACAUGAGCACCCUCAGUGAGACGUGGAGAACCACCUGCUUGAAGAAUGCAGAAAUACUGAAGAAUACAAGGUCCUGGCCUUGAAACUUAUGGGCUUUCUGACAGCAGUAGAACAGAAGCAGAAUAACAGAAUGUCACAGGCCCUGUUGUGAAUUAAAAAUUUCAUUC
ensembl:lncRNA